UACGUAGGGGGCGAGCGUUGUCCGGAUUUAUUGGGCGUAAAGCGCGGGCAGGCGGCCUCGUAAGUCGGCCGUGAAAGCGCCGGGCUCAACUCGGCGAGGACGGGCGAGACUGCGAGGCUCGAGCAAGGCAGAGGGCGGUGGAAUUCCGGGUGUAGUGGUGGAAUGCGUAGAGCUCCGGAGGAACACCAGUGGCGAAGGCGGCCGCCUGGGCCUUUGCUGACGCUGAGCCGCGAAAGCGUGGGGAGCGAGCCGG
rnacentral:rRNA from 1 species